rnacentral:tRNA from 1 species
GGGUAACGACAACUAAGGGCAGCCUACGAAACCAGCGGACGACGAAUCCGCGGGUUCGGGGUUCGAUCCCCCGGGGGCCCA